GGAAUUUUGGGCAAUGGGCGAAAGCCUGACCCAGCAACGCCGCGUGGGUGACGAAGGCCUUCGGGUCGUAAAGCCCUUUUCCCAGGGAAGAUAGUGACGGUACCUGGGGAAUCAGCCCCGGCUAACUACGUGCCAGCAGCCGCGGUAAUACGUAGGGGGCAAGCGUUGUCCGGAGUUAUUGGGCGUAAAGCGCUCGCAGGUGGUUCGUUGCGUCGUGCGUGAAAGGCCCUGGCUCAACUGGGGAGUGUCGUGCGAAACGGGUGAACUAGAGGCCAGUAGGGGGGUGCGGAAUUCCGGGUGUAGUGGUGGAAUGCGUAGAGAUCCGGAGGAACACCAGCGGCGAAGGCGGCAUCCUGGACUGGUCCUGACACUCAGGAGCGAAAGCGUGGGGAGCGAUC
rnacentral:rRNA from 1 species